rnacentral:rRNA from 1 species
GACGAACGCUGGCGGCGUGCUUAACACAUGCAAGUCGAACGGUGAAGGGACUGGUUUUGCUGGUCCUGGAUGAGUGGCGAACGGGUGAGUAACACGUGAGUAACCUGCCCCCUUCUUCUGGAUAACCGCAUGAAAGUGUGGCUAAUACGGGAUAUUCUGGGUCUGUCGCAUGGUGGGCCUGGGAAAGAUUGCGCCUUUUUUGGUGUUUUUGGUGGGGGAUGGGCUCGCGGCCUAUCAGCUUGUUGGUGGGGUGAUGGCCUACCAAGGCGGUGACGGGUAGCCAGCCUGAGAGGGUGGACGGGCACACUGGGACUGAGACACGGCCCAGACUCCUACGGGAGGCAGCAGUGGGGAAUAUUGCACAAUGGGCGCAAGCCGGAUGCAGCGACGCCGCGUGAGGGAUGGAGGCCUUCGGGUUGUGAACCUCUUUCGCCAGUGAAGCAGGCCUGCCUCUUUUUGUGGGUGGGUUGACGGUAGCUGGAGAAGAAGCGCCGGCUAACUACGUG